UCUUUUCUAAUUAUGACUUGAGUCAGGAGCAUUUCCAUCGUGCGGAUCCGGGUAUGUGAUUGCCAUGGAUUAGUGCUGGGGAGCAGAAGGCCAGCUGGAUCUUUGAAGCCAACAGAGCCAGCAAUGAAAUCUGCACUUGGGGUGAGAAUUGCCUCUCUUGGAGCUAUGUCAGCAAAUGCAGGCUGGGUGUCAGAGUUGAGAGAAAGUUGGAGAAUUGAACCUACAUGCAGAAGGAAGAGCUAAAAGAUGGAGACAGAAGAGACAGACAACAAAGAAAACUCCAGUAAUAUCAUUUAGGUCACUGAAUCUUGAUAUGCACAAUCAAGCUUCUUCCAAGUGAUCUUUGUCAUCUGUUUUCCCAUCUCUUUCAACAAGAACCCCACCUCCAGUGCCCUGUAGCAGGUUUCUGACCUCCCAUUCUUGUGUCUCUAUGCUGAUAUCACAGUCUCCAGAACGAU